AGUGGACGCUGGCGGUAGGCCUAACACAUGCAAGUCGAACGGCAGCACAGUAAGAGCUUGCUCUUACGGGUGGCGAGUGGCGGACGGGUGAGGAAUACAUCGGAAUCUACUUUUUCGUGGGGGAUAACGUAGGGAAACUUACGCUAAUACCGCAUACGACCUACGGGUGAAAGCUGGGGAUCUUCGGACCUUGCGCGAUUGAAUGAGCCGAUGUCGGAUUAGCUAGUUGGCGGGGUAAAGGCCCACCAAGGCGACGAUCCGUAGCUGGUCUGAGAGGAUGAUCAGCCACACUGGAACUGAGACACGGUCCAGACUCCUACGGGAGGCAGCAGUGGGGAAUAUUGGACAAUGGGCGCAAGCCUGAUCCAGCCAUACCGCGUGGGUGAAGAAGGCCUUCGGGUUGUAAAGCCCUUUUGUUGGGAAAGAAAAGCAGCAGGUUAAUACCCCGCUGUUCUGACGGUACCCAAAGAAUAAGCACCGGCUAACUUCGUG
rnacentral:rRNA from 1 species